rnacentral:rRNA from 1 species
UAUAAGAUUUAGCCUGCCCACUGAAUGAUUAAAUGGCCGCAGUAUUUUGACUGUGCAAAGGUAGCAUAAUAAUUAGUUUUUUGAUUGAAAGCUGGAAUGAAUGGCUGGACGAGAAAAUUACUGUCUCUUAUUAAUUUUAAGUAAAAUUUUAUUUUUAAGUUAAAAAGCUUAAAUUAUAUUGAAAGACGAGAAGACCCUAUAGAGUUUUAUAUCCACAAGAUUAUUUAAUUUUAAGGAUUUAAUUUUUGUUUUUUUGUGGUUAUUUUAUUGGGGUGAUAAAAAGAUUAAUUAAACUCUUUUUUUAUUUUUACAUUUAUUUAUGAUUAUUGGAUCCAAUUUUUUUGAUUAUAAGAAUAAAUUACCUUAGGGAUAACAGCGUAAUCUUUUUAGAGAGUUCUUAUCGAAAUAAGGGAUUGCGACCUCGAUGUUGGAUUAAAGUUAAUUUUUGGUGUAGAAGCUAAAAUAUUGAGUCUGUUCGACUUUUAAAACUUUACAUGAUCUGAGUUUAAACCGGUGUGAGCCAGGUUGGUUUCUAUCUUUAUUAAAUUAGAAUAUUUUAGUACGAAAGGACCAA